GUGCCAGCAGCCGCGGUAAUACGUAGGGGGCAAGCGUUGUCCGGAAUCAUUGGGCGUAAAGAGCGUGUAGGCGGUCCGGUAAGUCGGCUGUGAAAGUCCAGGGCUCAACCCUGGGAUGCCGGUCGAUACUGCCGGACUAGAGUUCGGAAGAGGCGAGUGGAAUUCCCGGUGUAGCGGUGAAAUGCGCAGAUAUCGGGAGGAACACCUAUGGCGAAGGCAGCUCGCUGGGACGUUACUGACGCUGAGACGCGAAAGCGUGGGGAGCAAACAGGAUUAGAUACCCUGGUAGUCCACGCCGUAAACGAUGGGCACUAGGUGUGGGAGGUGUCGACUCCUCCCGUGCCGGAGCUAACGCAUUAAGUGCCCCGCCUGGGGAGUACGGCCGCAAGGCUAAA
rnacentral:rRNA from 1 species